rnacentral:lncRNA from 1 species
AGAACAGUACAGUGACCCUACACGCUUGUUACCAGCCUCACCUGUCACCCACAUGGAGUCCUUCCCAUUUGUGGGGUUUCCAGGAUUUGCUGAGCACCUACUAUGCAUCAGACGCUGUGUUCUAGGCAAGGGGGAUACACCUGAUGGAAGAAGGUCCUUCCCUAGACGUAGCUAACAUCCCAGUGUGGGAGAUGACACGAAACAGUAUGCCCAUGUAAGUUCUGGCCAAUGGAAAAUGUUGUGUGUGACUUCCAGAAAAUGUCUUAAAAGGGAAGGUAAACACCUUCCUCCACCAGUCCUCCACACUUUCUGGAAUUUGAGACAUGAUGACUACAUCUCAAGCAGCUCGGACCAUGUGAUAAUUUAAAGAUGGCUGUGGAUUCUUUGAUCCUCCUCCCUUUGAGAGGAGUCAAUUUCCCCUGUACUUAAAUCUGGGCUGACCUGUGACUUCUUUGACCAAUAGAGUAUGGUGGAAAUGAUGUCACGCCCACUCCAGGCCUAACCUCUAGGAGGACUGGCAGUUUCUGCUAUGGCCUCUGGGAGCCAUGAGCUGCCAUGAAAAAGGUCAAACUACUCUGCUGGAGACACCCACCUGGAGAAGCCCUGGGAUUCCAUGGAGAGGCAGACGGACCCAGCUGAGCUCAGUGUUCCAGCCAUCCCCACGAAAGCACCAGGAACCUGAGUGAAACCAUCUCGAUCCUCCAGCAUAGCACAAUCAGCAGCUGAAGAUCACUGAGUGACUCUAGUCGGCGCUCCAUGGAUCACUGAAGGAUCACCCAGCUGAGCCCUGCGCAAAUUUCUGACUCACAAAACUGUAGACGAUACAAUGGUUGUUGUUUGGGGGCAGUUUGUUAUGCUGUAGCAAUAAAUAGCCAGAAGAGACCAAGAGGCAGAAGUUGUUUGCUGAAAAUAAUGCAAAAAUUAUACCAGCCCUUGCCCAGCUACCUCCGGAUUUCUUGCUACAUGAAAAAAAAAAAAAAAAUCCCUAUUUGUUUAAGCCUCGUUGACACCUUGGGCUAUUGCUCAGUCCUCAGUUUUCCAUUUGUUAAAUGGAGCAUUAGCUCCUGUCUUACUACUUCCCAAAGGUGCCUGAGAGGGUAGAGUAAGAAUGAAGAAGAGAAGGCCUUUUUCAUGUAAUAUAAACAGUGCUUAUGUUCCCAAAGAUCAGCGAGUGACAUGCUCAAACAGUUAUAAUAUAUUUAAUGUGGUCAUAAUGGGAGUGAACUUGUCAUGAACCAAUUGCAAUGGAUUUUGGAAUCAGACACGUUAGGGCUUGAGGCUCUCAGCUCUGCUAGACAAACUUCUAACUUGACAAAUAGGCCAGUCAUUAAAUCUCUCCAAGCCUUAGUUCCCUCAUCAAUAAAGCACAGACGAUGUGAUUUCCCUCCGUUGAGUCUGUGUGAGGAUUAAAUUAAAUGAGAUUCAUCCAUCUAUUUGAUAAAUAUUGAAUAUCUCCUAGGGUCUAGGCCAAACACACUCUUGAUAUUGGUGGAGGCUGGUGUCCACUCACCCUUAAAUCUAAAUAUUUAAAAAUUAUAAAUCAGACCAAUACCUUCUCUUAAAUGUUCUAUCCUUCUCCUCAGUAAGUAUAACUUCUCAGCAGCCUGAAAGGCCAGGAUUGAUUUGGAUUUCUUAGAUACUCGCACUGAAAUGUGGCGGUGCUGGGGAGAGCCAGCCCCAUUCCCUGGUCGCUCAUUUCCCAGCCUAUAAACUGCCACCUUCCCUUCUCAUCCCCAGCUCCAUCCUGUACCGUGCACACCUCACCUGCAUGUGUGUAGACAUCCCAGGCUGCAGGUCCAAUCUCCAUCCACACCCUAUCCUCUGCAGUGCCCCUUGGCUACACCCUGGGCUUAGUGUUCUGCCUCCAGACAAUAGACCAGGAAGAGGCCUGGCAGCAGGCUUGGGACUUUUAGGUAGGGAGCUCAGGAAUCCUAGGAAUCUGUAGUAUUCUAGACAAGGAGCAAAGACUUGGAUGGGUAUAUCCCCUUGGCACUGCAGACUCUCUAGCCUGUGGGGAUGUACGCAGCUGGAGGCUGGCCAGGGCAGAGCCCCGCUUGCCUGGGUCCAAGGAUGGGCUGGUCAGCCUGUGCUAGGUGCUGCAGGUACAUGAGUAGAUGAAGCAGAUACCACCCCUGCUUCUCCUACUCAAAGGUGAAGACACAUCCCUGAAGUCAGGGCCUCAGUCUUAGCCCUAUCUAUAAGAUGAGGGCUUACCUGAUCUGACAUCAGGUAAUGUUGGAGACUUGGUGUACGUCCUCAGGAAUGUCCUAGAAGCCAGGAGGUCAGAUGAGGAGGGGCAAGCUUAAGGCCUAAGCAAUCAACUUCCUCCUUGAACCUAAGGCUGGCAAGGCAGGAAGGGCACCCACCCUCUGGUCCAACUCCAUCCACGCAACUCCUUCAGUGGCCAUAACAACACAACUUCCCAUCACACCUAGAAUAAAAGUCCAGCUCCUUGCCGAGACCUGCAAAGCCUGCUACCCCCAGCUGCUGACCAUCUCCAGUCUCCUUACUACUGCUCACUGAGUUCCAUCCUUAUGUUCAUGAAACCCCACAUCUACUCUCCCACCUCAAGGCCUUUGCCCUUGCUGUUUUCUCUGCUGGACACGCCCAGCUCUUUGCAUGGCUAGUUCCUCUCACUGUGCAGGCCUCAGCUUACUCUCUUGCACAGAGACGUCCAUUGACAUCCUUUUAGGAGCAGCUCCUGUCUAGCCCCAGCUCUCUCUUGGGCGUGUCACCACUUUACAUCCUUCCUAGUACAGCCAAAACUGGUGUAAUGGAGUGUGCAAAAGCUUCCACUUGGGGCUGGACUGGCUGGGUCGAAACCCAGGCUGGGCCCAAUAUUCUCAAGUGCCGAGCCUACCUACUGCGCACUUGAGGCUAUUGUUCAACCUGGUUCCCCACAUAUCGUGCAACCUGUUGUUUCUCCACCUAUCGUGCAACCUGUUUCUCCACAUAUUGUUCAACUUCCUAUUUCCCUUCAAUAGAUUAUUCAACCAGCAUUUUCCUAUCUGUACAAGGGAGUGAGGAUUACAUGACCUAAUGUGCAUAUAGCAUAGAGCAGAGCCUGGCAUAAGCGCUGCAUUGGUGUUUGCUACGAUAUUAACACUUGUUGCUAUUUGAAAUUAUUUUGUCUGUAUGUUUCUUGUUUAUUUCCCUCUUCUCUCUGACAGGCAAACUCCCCACAACAGCCUCCUCAACGCUGCCUCCCACAGUGCUUGGACAAAAUAAUUACAGCAAGAUGCGGGCACUGAGCUGACUCCUUAUGUAGGACAUCCCAGUGCAGGUAGAGAAACUGAGGGACAGUUGGAGGUUCCUUGCCCUUGGUGAUGCGGUGAGAGGGCCUGCAGGCACCAGCCCGGCCGCCCGCACCGCUUCUCGCGGACCCCAGCGGAGCCGCGCUUCUCGUGCCGCUCCUGAGGGUUUCCGCGGCGCCGGCGUUUUUGUUCCCGGCGCGUUUAAGUCGUUGAGGCCGAAUCAAGCGAAGGCGGAAAAGCGGCGCGCAGCCCGCGUCAGCUGCAGUUCCGUCCCCCUGGUUCCCGGUGCGCUAACAAAGGCAUUUGCAUGAAAACAGGAACCCCGUCUGCAGAAAGGACUCGUUGGCGGGGUGCAUCGUGCGCUCCAGUGCCCCUACCGCGGCGCCCCGCUCCCCAGGUGGGGAAGAAGCGGGGUGCGGGGACUGGCCCCAAACACGGCUCGGCCGGCGGGGACCGGCACGCUGCGGCCCGGGCGACCCCCUUCUCCGCCCCUUUCCCAGGCCGGCGGAAACGGCCGUCUCGGGCGUGGGCGCGCUUCUGCGGACUCCUCGGGACCUUUUACCCAGGCGUGCGGCCGGGGCGCCCGGGGCCUCGGGGAGCCGGCGCCAGCGUGCGGAGCGCAGCGGAGCGGAGGGAGCGGCGGGAGCGGCGUCCGUGGCUGGUCCAGGUCUGGGGCGCAGCCUCCAGGCUCGCCCUGCGCCGCUCUGGGCCUCGGCCUCUUCGCCUGUUCGACCGGGGCGCAAGCGUGUCACAGCGCCUGUCUGCAGGGGGAAGCGGGCUUCCCAGAGGGGCGCGUGGCUCGCAGAGGGGCUCCGGGAAUAUCCGCUCCGUUGGCCCUUUCCAGAGCUUUUCCUUAGCUGCUUCUCCUUUGAAAUCCGCCUUUUUCCCAGCAGCCCUUGGAGGCAGGAUAAAUUAAGUGGUAAAAGCAGAGGAUUAGGAACCGGGAACCCUGGAUUCAAAUCCUGCCCGCCGCUGACCAGCUUUGUAACCAUGAGCAGGUUACUCCGCCUCUGGAGGCCUCAGCUUCCCCGUCUGUAAAAUGGGGCCUAACACAGUCCAGAAAGUGCUUAGUGCCGCAGUGUCACACACCGAGUGCUUAAUUCAUUCUUAAAAUUAUCACUUCCAGCUGUGGGACAGGCGCAGGGUAGAAAGGGGUUUUCUUAAGGUCACAGGCGGGGUCAAAGGCAAACCCUCCGGGUCCUCACAAGUAAGACUUGCGAAGCAGCAAGUUCCCCAAAGGGUCUUAUCCAGCCGGGUAAGGAGCGCCGGGGCAUCUCCCCCCUCUCUCUCCGCGAAGACGCACAAGCAAUGGCUGGCGAACCUACUGCCUGGAAUGGGGUUCUUGGGUCGAGACCUUUAAAAAAAUAAAGAAGAGGAAGAAGAAAGAAAGAAAACAAACAAACAUGCACGCAAAAACGGAAUGCCAGAGCCUUUGAUCUAGGAGCCAGCUUGCUAUUCAGGGCCGACCACCGUCUCGCCGCAGUUCCUCCCCGGGAAGGAAGCCUCGCGCUGCCCUCCGGUGGCAGGCGAGGUAGUGUCGCCUGGGCGCAACUCACAAGCAGGGGUUUACCGGAGAAGCCAGCUUCGCUCUGCGCGGGUGGGGGCUGUGGGGGAGAGAGGAGGGAAAAUCGGAAUUGUUCCCUGACUGCUGUUUUUUGGUCCCGGUGGAUCUUGGGAGUCUUGGAAAGAGAAUAAUAAGGCUCUCUGCAUUUGAAAGGCAUAGGAGUUUUUACAUUCUGGUUUUAUUUAUUUUUGAAUGGAUAACACAUUUACACGAUUCAAAAGAUAAAAAAGAGGAUAGCGUGAAAAGGAAGUCUCGCUUCCACUCUUGUUCCCCAGGCACCCAGUUCCCCUUCCUAGAGACAGCCAUUGUUACAUGUUUCUGUGUACCCACCCGGAGACAGUCCAUGCAAAUGCAAGUAUUUUACAGGAUCAAUAGUAGCUUGCUCUGUAUACUCUUCUGCCUCUUGCUGCUUCGCUUAAAAAUGCAUCAUGGAGUUUGUUCCAUGUUGAUUCACAUAGGGCUGCCUCGUUCUUUUGAACAGCUGCAUAAUAUUCCAUUGUUUGGCUCUCCUGUAAUUAUUUGAUCAGUGUUCUAUUGAUGAGCCUUGAGGCUGCUUCUAAUCUUCUGUAAUCACAGUGUGUUACAACAAAUAAGCACCUACAUGCAUUGUUAUGCCUAGGUGCCAGUGAGGCACAUAGCUAUUGCGGUAUAACAAACCACUCCGAAAUUCAGUGGCUUUAAAUAGAAAGCUUUUGGUAUUGCUCAUGUGGGUCAGCUGGGUAGCACUGCUGAUCUGGGCCAAGCUCAGCUAACUUUGCAUUUGCUCCUUGUGUCUGGGAUCAGAAAGGGUGGGUCAGCUGGGGCUGGUUUAUUUAGGAUGGUCUAAAUCACAUGUCUGGUAGUUGACUGGCUAUCAGCUAGGGUUAGAGGGGUGUUCAGGCUAUGUGUCCGUCAACAUCUGAUAACAUGCAGUGCCUCCUGAGACUGUAUAACUGGUGUGAAUUUACAUCCAUUACAUUCUGUUGGUGCAAACAUGUCACAAGCCAGCCCAG